rnacentral:rRNA from 1 species
CGCCCGCCGCGAACUUAGAAGGGCUUCUUUGGGGUAGACGCUCGGUGUCUUUAAAUGUCGUCGCACGUAUCGGAGUUCCUUUCUAAUACCUCGACCGAUCGAAUCGUCUCCCGUGUCGUUCGGACGCGCUGUCAGUGACCGCGUCGGUUCGCACGGGGGAAGGAAGUCGUUGGGUCGUAAGCGGAACGAAAGGAGUUUUCCGAGACUGCCACCCGGCCCCGUUUUUUUUCAUCGUCAACGUGUUUGCGACUGUACCGUAUGGAGAAAGGAAAAACGAGAGACAACUUUUAACGGUGGAUCUCUUGGCUCGUGCAUCGAUGAAGAACGCAGCCAGCUGCGAUAAGUAGUGUGAAUUGCAGAAUUCAGUGAAUCAUCGAAUCUUUGAACGCAAAUGGCGCUCUCGGGUUCUCCCGGGAGCACGUCCGUCUGAGUGUCGGCAUACAUAUAAGAUCGCACGACCGUGCGGCGUUGAGGCGUCGCGGCGUCCGGCCGCGUCCCUCGAAAUUCAGGAGAACCGCCGUGUAGCGAGAUCCUCGGAGGCCUAAAACGAAUUGGUUCCCCGCGAUCCGCAGCAGCCGGCUCGGUUCGACAAUAGUGACAACGAAUCGCAUCUCGACCUCA